UCGGAGACUCGGAGCGACCGGGAAGCGGCCUCCCCAUCAGCCGUACUCACCCGUCGGGAGCCGGCCGCCCGGCAGCCAUCUUAAGACCCAGCCAACACCGCGCCUCCCCAUUGGCUCCGGCUUCUCAGCCAAUGGGCUGCGGCCGUUCUGGCCUCGGGUCGUCAUGGCAACCGGCCGCGCUUCGCUCCGCUUUCGGAUGUGUCUGCAGCGGCGGAUUCGUUUCUUUCUGCUUCUUUUCCUUCACCGUUUCCUCCCUUUUCUUCUGGACCUUUUUUAAAGGCUUUGGUUUCCCCCCACCCACCCCACCCCCCAUUCCCUGCUGCUCGCUGCUGUUGAGGAUGAGGAAAGUGCUGGCUUAGCCCUUGACCUGAGUUCAUUUCCCCCAAGGAGGGGAAGUUCGAUGUAGAUGCUCUCCAGGCUCUUCUGGGAACAUUUCCAUUCAUUCAUCCUUUUCCCUCCUCCCUCCCUUCCUUUUUCUUCCUCCUGUACAUAAUUAUUGACCAGGCACCCUGCCAGAAACAGCCCGGACUCCUGCUCUCCUGGUGCUAACCAGCUGCUGCACUGACCAGAUGUGGGGCCUUGUCUAAAAAGCUCAUCGAACCCCUUUUCUGUGACUGCCACUGGUUCAGGCCCCCGGGCAGGACUUGGGGGAGCAUAGAAAAUAAGUAAGGAAAAAGAAACUAGAAAAAAAAAAGUGCUAUGAAGAAUAUAAAGCAGGAUAAUGUGAUAGUGAUGAGAGAGCAGGCUAUUUUUAGAAAUGCUUCUAUUUUCUGAAAUCGUGCUCUGUAAUAAUGAUAAGACUAAAAAUACUUUCCUAUUUUUUUAAGUAUACUAUUUUCCAGUUCGUGAGGAUGAUAAAAUACACAUAAAGUCCUUAACAUAAUGCCUAGACCACAGUGAUUUUGUCUUAGCUAUACUCUAAAAAUGUGAAAGAGUUUUGCAUUGCACUCUAAUAUAUCAUGAUUUAGUGUAAACAGAUGUUUAAGCUUACUAGGUAACUAUUCAUUACCUCACCCUCAGUGUGUCCCAGAAGGAUAUGCCAGGUUUAUGGAGUAGUUUUCUGUAAGCCCAGAAUCAUAAUAGAACCUGAAUUGACAACCUUGGGUCACUCAAGUCCUUCAUGCUGACCUUCUCAGGUUCUAGAAUAGAAACAGGUCUGAGGGCACCUGGGUGGCUCAGUGGUUGAGCAUCAGCCUUUGGCUCAGGUGAUCCUGAAGUCCUGGGAUCGAGUCCCACACCAGGCUCCCUGCAUGGAGCCUGCUUCUCCUUCUGCCUGUGUUUCUGCCUCUCUCUCUGUGUGUCUCUCAUGGAUAAAUAAAUCUUGAAAAAAAAAAAAAAAAAGCAGGUCUGAGUGAUUUCAGGAUCUGUGUGAAACUCUCUUGGCCAAUUGUGUCCAGCUUCUCAAUAGGAUUUUUCCCCAAUCCAAAUCUUUUUUUUUUUUUAAAGAUUUUAUUUAUUCAUGAGAGAUACAGAGAGAGAGAGGCAGAGAUACAGGCAGAGAGAGAAAAAGGCUCCAUGCAGGCAGCCCAAUGUGGGAAUCUAUCUUGGGACUCCAGGAUCACACCCUGGGCGGAAGGCAGACGCCCAACCACCGAGCCACCCAGGGGUCCCCCAAUCCAAAUCUUUAACAAGUUAGGCAGUUAAAGAAAGGAUGUGUAUAAAAGUGCCGCUAUGGCUGUUGCAUUUGGGCCUCUUAGUUACUGUCUUAGUCUGCUCAUGCUAUCAUAACAAAAUACCACGCACUGGGUGGCUUAAACAACAGAAGUUAAUUUCUUACCAUCCUAAAGGUUGAGAAGUCUAAUAUCAAGAUGCUGGCAGGUAGGUUUCAUCCGGGAGUGUUUUCUCUUGGCUUGUAGACAGCAGCCUUCUUGCGGUGUGCUCACAGGAUCUCUUCCUUUUGUGUUUGUAGAGAAAGAACCUGUGUGCAUGGGAGAAAGCUAUCUGGGGCUUCUUCUUAUAAGGACACUAAUCCUAGAGGAUCAGGACCCCAUCUUUAUGACCUCACUUAACCUUCAUUAAUUCCCUAGAGGCCCCAUGUCCAAAUGUGGCCACAGUGGGGGUUGUUAGAGUUUAAACACAGCAGUCUGUGGGUACCUAAACAUUUGGUUCAUAACAAAUACUGUUGGUGGAAGUAUGACCAGAAUAGAGAGAGAGAACACAGGUCAGAGUAUGGAAAUUCCAUGUCAACUAAUCUCCUCCUUGCAGAUACAGGAAACCACCUUCAGUCCUGGAAACCAUUGAGAUGUUUUCUGUCCUCAUAGUUUUGCCUUUUCCAGAAUGAGGUCAUGUUGAUGCUCCUCCCAUACUGAAUGUCGCAUGUAAUAUGCCAUCCUAACUGCUUGGUGGGUAUUGCUGUGAGCGGUGACCCCGUGGCAAAAACAGAAGAGCAAACGGAGUGAGGAAGGGUUCAGACUGAGCCCUAGUCAUGCUACAUCCAGUUACACUGCCCUACUACUUCACUUGGGGCAUGUUCUGCGAAGAAGGGAUUGGUUGUGUGAAGGGGUGUGCCACAAAGAACCCUCAGGAAUAUAGGACACAGAGCUAAUGAAGUGCCCGGAGGAAAGAAAGUCUUACCUAUCAGCUAUGAAUUCUCUCCCCCAACCCACGUCAGAGACCUGAGGGCACGUGACCUAGGAAUGUGCAUCCCAAGAUAAUACUACCUUCAGAGAACUCUACUUAGAGGUGAGCCUUUCAUCAAUGACAAAGGAAAUUUAGGACACCAAGAGGAUGAUAUUUUCUUAUAGAAUCUAGCAAGACGAUGUGUAAGGAUUUCAGAUGCGUAGCUCCUAUUAAAGUUAACAAGAGUUGUACUGUUAAAACCUCCUCAUGACACUUUGCAUUAUAUCCUGAGAAGUCUGAAGAAGGUGCCAAAGGAUCAUCAAAAUACCAGCCUCGCUUUGAUAAACUUGUCACCAGAAUUGUGAUGUUGAAUAAUGAAGAAAACAUUACCUGAUGAAGUCUUUUAUUUUAUGAUGAUAUCUCUGGAGACAGAGGAGACACAAAGGCUUAAAUGCCAGCUUCAAUUACAUCUUGG